GCUGUGACCCAAGAACUGGAGGCUGCCCUGGUCAGGUCAGAUACUUGCAGCCUGAAUGUACUGCCCCUAACAAGAAUGCCACAUUGUCAUCAGCAUUCAGUACCAUGACUGCAGAAUAAAGAGAGACCAGACGGCCACAUGAGAAGGAGGAGAUAAAAAGAAAGCAAAAAACUUGAAUAAAAUGCCUUAAGUCUGUGCUGCAGACUUUUGCCCUCCCUCCCUCAUCGAUCGUCCUCCCAGUGCACACGGUGCGAGCUGCAGCCACUAUCCAUGGUCACUGUCAUGGCCCAGACCUGGUGAGAGCAGCAGGAUGUUGUGCAGCUUUUUUACUGAACAGCCAACUCUGCUUGCAGCAGUGGGGACGCAUCCUCCUUAGCUGUAGCAGAUUGCAAGAAACAGAGAUGCUUUCGCCUCUGGAAACUGAGGAAACAGCAAUGCAUUGAAAAGAGGAUUCUUGAACAUCAGCUAUUAUCGGUCGAUGAACACUGCAAGAUCAGCUUUGAGGUUUAUAUUUAAUUAAUAUAUUGAGAAGAUUUAGUAAGAUAAAAGCCUACCAGAUGAACAACAAUCACUGAAACAUGCAUCUUCACAGGUAAGAUUUUCAGGCACUGUAAAAUAUGCUUAUUAUAAAUAAUAAUUUUGAACU
rnacentral:lncRNA from 1 species